UCAACGACAUGCUUGUGGCUUCAGCUUCGCUGAAUCAGUCUUCAUCAGCUCCACUACCGAUGGGUAGUAAGCUUUGGGAGCUAUCCUUUGAGCUUUGCAUCUUUGUUGAAGUCGUCAACAGGAAUUAACUAUUUUGGUCCUGCACACGAAGAUUAAAAGAAAGAACAUAGUGGGGAUGUCAUUUUCUUUGAUGGCUGGAGUGCUUGCAUUCUUCCUAUCAAAGUCAUUGCUUGAUUGCAACCCCUGCCGGCCUUUGCUGCUAUCAGAUUCAAAGCUGUCUCUUUGCCCGGCAAAUUAUUCACCUGUCUAUGUCCCACCUGUUUCUUCCCUCACACAAUGCCAAUUCGAUCUCUUCUCGUGCUCCACAGAAGAGUGGAGAGAAAAGAAACGAGGAAGAACAAGAUCAUCCAAGUCCUACUAUUCCUGCAUCUACCACAGGUGCAGCUCACUCGGGACCUUUAACAGCAUCUUAGGAUCAUGAGGGCGCUAUCACCGGAGGCUUUAAGAGCUCCUUCGUGCUUUCUAAUAAGGCAGUGCAACUCCAAAGCAUUCGAAUGGAAGAAAGUGACAUCCAUCUAUGCUUCCCAGCUUCUCCUUGCUAUAGAAGCAUCGAGGAAUCUGAAAUUUGUGGUGCAGAAAUGGAUUCGUACACGACAAGAUCAGUGCAAGGAUAUUGGAGUCAUUUUAGGUGGAGAAAAAUAUGCUACUGCUUCAUUCACCUUCCUACCUCUUUCCUCCUCCCUUCUUUACGCUGCAAUUAAACUUCCGACAUCCUUCUGCAUCUUACUGCGCCCAGCUGCCAUUAUAAGAGUGAUCAGAGGGACAGGGGAAGAGGAAACAGCAGCUCGGAAUGAGGUUGGUUGUGUGUGGGCAGCAGAAGGAGAAUUCCAAAGGGAUCGCAUUGAUCUCUGUCUGCUGAACAGUUUUGAGCGGUCAUGCGAUUCCUCUGGAAUUUCCCAUCUGUUGCUGAAUGUUCCUCCCUCUCUACUCGGCUUGGAAAGCUCAUCGUCCAGGUAUUUUGCUGUUCUUUCAUGGUAGAUCGAGAAGCAUUUUCUCACACGGAUAUCUCGAUCUUUUCGUGGGGAUUUAGAGUUUCACACGAUCAGCAUCCUUCUUCGUAUUGCUGAUCUAUUGCUCUAUUGCUCCUCCACUCAAACCCUCGAAGAAUUAAGUUCCUGAGUUGGCUCUGAUAGAAAUGAAUGACUGUUAUCAGGCUCGAGUGGCGAUUCCUCGACAUCAUCUUUACUGAGUUCUUCCCGAAGCAAGAAAACGUCCAUGAUCCUAUCGAAGAGACAGAUCGAUUUAAAUGACAUGUGAAAACGAAUCGUGUAACUCGAGGAAGAAAGAUCAGAGAAAACUAACCAACUUCUUCUUCUUCUUCUUCUUCUUCUUCUUCUUCUUCUUCUUCUUCUUCUUCUUCUUCUUCUUCUUCUUCUUAUCUGGUAUCCAUCAGCUUCUGCUGUAGAGAAUUUAAUGAUGAACAAAAGUGGACUCAAGAUCGUUUUAGGCAAUUUCUAUAUGAGCAGCCAAAAAUGGCACUGAAGAAGCAAAGCUGAAGCGAUCUGUAGAAUGAAGCAGAAGCUUCGUCGAACCAGUCUGCAUGCAGGUGUUGUUCUAUUAAGAGCUCCACUUCUUUAAUGACCUUAACUGGCUUCAAACUAUCAUUGAACAUAUGGUGUGGUAGCAUUGAGACUCCAGUUCAAGAUACAAAGAAGAUUCAGAAGAGGAGCUACGUUCCGCUGCGUCUUAAUUUGCCGAAACCCUUUUCCCCAUCCUUCACACGGCCAUGGAUGGCCGUGAAGGUGUGAUGAGUACGUUGAGGGGUUUGUCUUUGAGUGUAGGACAAGUAGGGGAGGGUGUCAUAUAUCCAUAGGCUGGGCCGAACCCUACUGCGGUGGUCCUUUGUCUCCCACAGCUGAAUUGAGUGUGGCCGGUCUCAUCGAUGGGAAGCCUUUUGGGACCACCAUGAUUGAUGCAGGAUGAUCCUCCAAGUCAUUCCAUGGCUUGCUGCUGGUGGAAGCACGGUCGCUGCACAACAAGUCAGACACGAGAGAAUCUAGUCAUGAUUGGAGUCAUAGAAAUACUCUCUUCUUUAAUUAGUUUAUAUCAGUUUAUCAAAGAAAAGUUGAUGAUA